GACGAACGCUGGCGGCGUGCUUAACACAUGCAAGUCGAGCGGUGAAGCGCCUUCCUUUUUGGUGGGUGUGGAUGAGUGGCGAACGGGUGAGUAACACGUGAGUAACCUGCCCCCUUCUUCUGGAUAACCGCAUGAAAGUGUGGCUAAUACGGGAUAUUCUGGGUCUGUCGCAUGAUGGGUCUGGGAAAGAUAUUGUUUCGGUGGGGGAUGGGCUCGCGGCCUAUCAGCUUGUUGGUGGGGUGAUGGCCUACCAAGGCGGUGACGGGCAGCCGGCCUGAGAGGGUGGACGGUCACACUGGGACGGAGACACGGCCCAGACUCCUACGGGAGGCAGCAGUGGGGAAUAUUGCACAAUGGGCGCAAGCCUGAUGCAGCGACGCCGCGUGAGGGAUGGAGGCCUUCGGGUUGUGAACCUCUUUCGCCAGUGAAGCAGGCCUGCCUCGUUUGUGGGUGGGUUGACGGUAGCUGGAUAAGAAGCGCCGGCUAACUACGUG
rnacentral:rRNA from 1 species